rnacentral:lncRNA from 1 species
UGGCGUAUUGUUUGGCCGAGGCCGGGCAUGACCCAGGAAAGUGUGUCCGGCCGAAGUUAAUCGAGCGUGGUGGGUAAGUUGGUGCACCCCUGCAGGGAAGAAAACAUCUAUCGAUAGCCUAUCCUAUGGUAACGGACACUUAGAGUUGUAUCCCGAUCGAUACAACUAGAACUGAAUACUGAGAUGAGAAAUGAAUUGUGAUGAGAAAUGGAUAGUAUGGCUCUGGGAUUGCUUUCUCGCAGGGAGUCGAGAAAGGAUCUCUGGCCGAGGUUGAUAACACUACUACUACUUUACUUUAUGCUACUCUACUCCCUCCUGUUGCUGCAAGUUUGUGGUUUCCAAAAGAUGCUAGUCUUCGAUAGGACUAGCUUCUCCCCCUCUUAUUCUAGCAUUUCUGCAGCCCAGUCCAUAUAUACAGCCUUCCUUUGAUGAUGUUGCAUAUGUAGUGUAGAUCCUUGCAUGCUGAGUACUUCGGAUGAGUACUCACGGUUGCUUUACUUCCUCUCCCCCCUUUUUCCAUUCUUCUCGGAUGUCGCAGCCAGAUGGUGGAGCCAAGAAUCCAGACGCCACCUUCGACGACGACUACUACUACACUAAGGGUGCCUACUACUACAUGGAGGCCGCCAACGACCAGGAGUAGUUAGGAGGCUUCCGGGCAGGAGGCCUUACCUUUUCGAUCGUAGUUGCUUUUGUGCUAGCCUUCUUAAGGCAAAUUGGUUUAACUUAUGUCUGUACUCAGAUAUUGUUGCUUCUGCUGACUCGUUUGUAUUCGAGCUUAUGUAUUCGAGCCCUCGAGGCCUCUGGCUUGUAAUAUAAAGCUUGUAUUAUUUUAAUUUGUAUCUAGAGUUGUGUUGUGAUAUCUUCCCGUAAGUCCUCGAUCUUGCUCGUACACUUUUGCAUGUAUGAUUAGUGUAUGAUUGAAUCGGGGGCGUCACAAGUUGGUAUCAGAGCCGACUGCCUAUAGAUAGCCCCCUUUUCAACUCCUUGGACGAAGUUGAGUCUAGUCGUCCAAAAUUGUUUUACUAACUUGGCUGUGUGGCUUACGGGCCCACGUCGCCAUUGGGUGGUAUUAGAAUGUUUUAUUCCUCAACCUAUACUCUGGGAAUCACAUCUCUCUUCUAUUCGGGUUAAAUGAUUUUGCUAACUCUAACUCUAGGUUCUCGUAAUUACUUCCUCCCGGAGAUUCCCCCACUCAAGAUGAUUGCUUGGUGCACCAAAGGAUUCCGAAGAUACUCUCCGAUGUUCUCUCGAGACUUUGCGCUCGUUGCUUUUGCAAUUCUCUACCACCGAGAAAAAACCCUAUGGAUAACUACGUACACUUGCCAUUCUUACAAUCAUUCCUUGUUAGUCUUGUUAUUACAAGAUACCCUGAAAUUCUCUCUAUUGUUCCGAGAAUACUUUGUGCCUACUGCCUUGCAGUUCCUUGUCACAUGAAUACCCCUACGGAUAAAUUCCUCGCACUUAUCGAGUAUCCGCUCAUUCCCAGUUGUUCAUGUGUUUCAGAAAGGUCUUCGAAAUACUAUUCAACCUUUCGAAAAUCCUCAGUAGCUUAUUGCUCUUGAAAUUUUUGCCUGCUUGCAUUAUGGAUAAUCCCAUAAGUCUAGUAAUCUUAUUGGCAUCCUUUUCACUAUCAUCUUGAGUCCGUUGAUUCAAUAUGUUGUGAAUGCCAGCAAUCCUCAAUCAAAUCCUAGAAUUCAUCCUUCUAGCUCAGACGUCAUUUUGAGCAAGAGCUGGUUCUCGACCUAUCAAAUUGUCGUCGAUUGUACCCCUAAGGCUAUUCAACUUAUACAUCCCUAUUCAAACCAUUGCUUCUGAUCCCUUGUCUUGGAAUUCAUAAUUCCUUUGCAUUUGAGCUUUGAGUUAGUCAGUUGUUUCUAUAAUCUGAUGCACUUGCAUUCCUUCUUCCUUUGAUAGAGUACCGAUACUCACAUCAACUGCGUUGUAGACCACCGGACCUCUUGUUGGAUUAUUAUUCGACAGUGUCCUUAAUAUUCAAAUAACCUUGUGAGACUUUCCACGGAUAUAUAAAGCCUUUGGUAAAUUGUAUCCUCUGCUAUCUCAACCAUGCUCUGUUUUCGAGCUGGUGGUAUUUACUAUUGAAGCUUGUGGUAUAUGUUUCCACGAUACCCUGACGGGUUAAACCUAUGCCUUCCUUAAUAUGUGUGAACUCGAAAGUUUUCAUGAGUCAUACUCUUUUGAUAUUUUGCUAGAUAAAAUUUCAACACUACGACUUCUUCGAAAGUGAGAGGUGAAUGGAAGGUUAUACAUUAAAGAAGUGGGAGUCGACCCUGAAACUUUGUAUUCAUGCCCACGGACACGGUGUGGAACUUAUCAUGAAAGCUUCUUGCAAGGAUAUUUAAUCAUUUGAAUAAUUCUUCCAGUAUCGUAAAUUGGAUCCCUUGCAGUUAUAGUCCCGACCAUAUUUCCUCCUUGAUCCCAUUUAUUGGGUAAGUUAAAAUUACUUAUCCUCUGCAAAUCAUUUCCCCCGUCCAACCUCUACUCCGAUUUACCUUCUGGCAUUACACCUAGUACUUUACUGGGAAGCUUUAUACCCCAUCACAUCAUUCCUAGCUUGAUCGGAUAUUUUUUAUCAUGAUAACUUUUUAACUGUGCUACAUGGUCCUUAUGCCCGGAUCAACUUCCGACGAUGAGCUAAGCUUAUGUCGAUCUUGCUCAUCUUAUCAUUUCACCUUGAACAACAAGCUUGACUUUGAGCUUGUGUCGAAUCUGUGGUUCUCAUAGCCUUUCACUUCAUCCUCUCUUUUUUGCUUGAGGGCAUCUUCAUAGAGUCUCUCGAUAAACUUUGUCUUGAUCACCGUCAACACUUUGGCUUCUUCAGAGAUGUCAAUUGAAUUCAUGGCUAGAAAUACCAUCUUUGCCUCUAGAUCAUUUGUGUCAGCAUCAACAACAUUCUUGUCUUCCCCCCAACACAAACUUGAUCAUAUUAAUUUUGGGAAUACAUCCUUGUUGACAUGUCAAUGGAUUGCUACUAAACCCAUCGGCCACCUCCUCAUCUUUUCCCUAAUAAAAUAACAUGAUAUGUUCUAGAAAUUCCCGAUGGAUCCAUUGUGAAUCCAAGGUCCGACCUUUACCUGAUGACCAUGUCAAUGCUAUCCCGAAGCAUGAUUGUGGUACUCAAACAUCAACAAGAACAUUGGAAGCAUAAUGCUAAAUGUUUCUUGUUCAUUUAUCCAAACAUCGUUGUACGUGUAACAUCAUGAAUUCCCUCACGCCUUUACCUAAAGAGUUUUCUACAUUAUAUCCUGUCAUGGAUAUCAUGCUCUGCCUGACCUUGGGAACGAUAUACCCUUGAAUUAUGUGUUUAAGCACAUUUUCCUUUCCAUUGGUUUGUUUGACCUUUCUUGUGAUCUAUAUAAUCUAAGCAGUAUUAAUUCACUGCUUAUGUAAACACCUCGGUGUACAACUAUGUCAGUGAGACCCUAUUUCUACUGUUGAUGACAUUCCGGUAGCCACCGAUGGAUGAGAAUUUUGCUGAUUGGUCCGCCUCGUUCCACGAGCAAGAAAAUGGUUCUCUUCGUCCCUCGCCCUUGGUACCGACGUUGUUGCCGACGUUAUUGAUAGGCUACCCUCUGACAUGCCUUGCUAUCAUGACCAUGCAAGAUGUCACCGCUCCUCCUACUUUUAACCGACAUGGUGGGCCCAUAACCCACAGUUUCAAAGGAUCGAAACCUGACUCUCCAAUACACCCCAGCUCCUAAAGGUUAUUCCUCAUGCUUGGCUUCGUAUGUAAUUCAUGAGCCACCUUCCAAGAGAUUAUCAAUUCUGGUAUCAGACAUAAUACUUAUUCCCGUUGCUCUAAAACUCCUUUUACACAUUGUUUUAGGCUUCGAACGAUUGCCUACCCGCUUGAAACUUCUCAUGAUACUUUCUUACUUUGCUCUCGAUAUUUUCUUAAGUUUCAGUUCGAGAGUUACUUUCCGCCACCUUCCCCAAUGUUAGCUACCAGAUAGUCAACCUUGCAGGUGCGUUUUCUCCUGGAAUAUACCCACCAUUUAUUAUUUCGUAAGUACAUUGGAGUUUCUGAAGAAACGAUGCCGACUUCAUCGUGAUGACCUAAAGCAGAGGAAUGAAGACAUCAACGUAGUGGACCGACCUCUUCAAGAAGAUCAGCCAAGAACGAGAAGAUCCAUUAGAAUUUCAUACCCACAACUUUCCCCCUAACUCCACCUCUUAAAUUUCGGGACGAGAUUUCUUGUAGUGGGCGAGAUUUGUGACACCCCAAGAAUCAUGCUAUAGUAAUAUCCCCCUAAUAGUGACCAUGUCAUCAUGAUUACUAAGCAAAUUGCCGCCUGUCCCAAUUCAAAGGCAAGAUUCAAAUUUAAAUUGCAAGUGGAAUUAUUCAUUCUUCGAGCAGUAAAACUAAAAUGUCCGCUUUAUUCUAUAAAUCCCAUGAUCGUUGUCAUGUUGAAACCAACUUCAUUUGACUCACCAAUAAAUUCCUAGAAAAAUAAUAAGUGGUCCUACUACAAAUAUAUUGGUCUUUUCAAAUCAAAUAAAUGCUUAUGAAUUUCAAAUUGACUUGAAACUUUGUGGGCCUCUCUAGAGUAAUGACAUAUAUUUAUGUGUGAAGUUUCAUCAAUAGCAACAAUUGUUUGCCCACUCAAAUAAAUGCAAAAAGUAGCUAUUUAGUUGAUAGCAAAAAAAGAGAACAAAAGCCUACCUAAUGUGUACUUGGCCCCUAGGUCUACUCGAAGGCCCAGCCCACAUCCCCCACUUGUCUCCCUCCUCGCGCUACAGGAGACAGGAAGGGGAUCGUGGAAGCCAUCCUAUGGUCGUGGCCACGUGCCGGGCAUCCAUGGCCUCCCCUCACCUACAUAACUACGCCGGCGCCCCCUGGAAACCAUAGCGCCACUUUCCCUUCCCCUCACUCGCCCCCAUCUCUCUCUGCCCCGCUCACACCCGCCGCCGUCCGCGACCCCCAUGGCCGCACCGCCGUGAAGCUUGCGGCCACAGUCGACCCUGGCGCCUAGGAGCUUGACCAUCGGCCUCGUCAUCCUCGUCUACAUCGUCCCCGCCUCUAGAUCGAGGCCAAAAUGCUGCCUCGCCGUCGCUAGCCUCCUGCAUCUCCAUCACGGCCGCCGCGUUUCGCCGGUCACCUGCGCAUCCUCGACCAGCCACGGCCGCCCCGAGCACUCCAUCGAGCUCCGCGGUGAGCACUGUGCCGAUUCCCCUGUUUUCCCCUGCCUCCCGUUGUCGUAGCCGUCGUGCCUACCCAUGGCCGCCGUGGACGAAGAUCGCCGUGGCCGCGGCCAAAGCCUGCGCCCAGGUCGCGCCCUAGCCUUCCGCUGUCCGCGCUUGGCCGCGCCCCGGCAGUGCCCGUUGCUGCCUUGGUGCUGCCCCGUGCCGUGCGCUGCUGCCCGCCGCCAGCUGCUUUCCGCUGGCCCCUGGCUAUGACUGCUACUUGCUUUUGCCUGCUGUUGUUGUCGCCAUCCCUGCCCGCGCCCGCCUGAGCGGCUGCGCCGAGCCACGGCUGCUCCCGUAGGUGCCUGGCGCUGCUGGCUUCGGCAGCGCCCGUGCGUGCACACCAGCCAUGGCUGAGCGCCCGUGCUAGUGUGUGUGUGCUAUGCGUGUUGUGUGUGUGCGUUAUGGGCGUGUGUGAUGUGUGUGCGUAUGAGUAGGGCCGGCCUGUGUGUGCGUAUGAGUAGAGCCGGCCCUCUCUUUAGAUUAGGGGCUAAUCCCCUUUUAAGCUAAUCUUAUGUUUGUUUAAUUUAAUUGCAGGUCUAGUUUAGUAGUACCAAAUGACAUGUGGGUCCCCUUUAAUUAAGUUAUAAAUAAAUUAUUUUAGAAUUUUAAUAAAACACUGAUGUGUGGGACCCUUGGGCCCAUUGACCAGUCAACGGGUCAACGUUGAUUGCUGACUGGGCAGUCAACGGGGCCACUGUCAUCAUCUGCUGCGCUGCACCAGGUGCACCUAGCAAUUUCCCGUUAAUUUUCGAAUUUGUAAUAAUUUCAAAAAAUUCAGAAAAUGUUUAAAUCUUUGAAAAAUCAUAGAAAAAUAAUCGUAGCUCGGAUCGAAAAACUUUACACAUGAAAGUUCCUCAGGAAAAUCCAACGAAUCCGAAUACGAGGUCCAUUUUCCUAUCAGAUGCCUCUAACUAUCUGAACAUGGAACAUCCCCCCUUCGGUCAUCUGUCUGACACAGGUCCGAAACCGGAAAUACCUUCCCAGUUGAAUUCCCCCUUCAUCUGUUUCGUGCAGCAAUAGUUAGAAUAUUCAUAGUGCUGCGUAUUGCAAUGUUAUGCCUUGUGAUGCUUUGUUUGCUCUGUAUUUACUGUUUCUCCCACUCUUCUCUUCAGUCAACCCCGUGGCGGCUGCCGAUGCUGCUGUGAUCGACUACGUCAAUGACGACCCCUCCUUGUCUGAGCAAUCAGGCAAGCCCCCCUUUGAUCAUCCCGAUAUCGCCCAUUUCAUUCUCUCAUGCUUGCAUUAGAUUUUGCUACUGUAUUUGAUUGCUCCUAUUCUGAUGCAUAGCCUGCUUUUGUAACCUGCUUAUUGUUACCUACUUGCUUAUCCUAAACUGCUUAGUAUAUGUUGGUUAGUGAUCCAUCAGCGACCCCCACCUUGUCCCAAUUGCCCCGCUUUAUGUUCGAUGACUCGAUCAACAUGAUCGACGUCCAGGCCCCGACACCGCACAUCACCCCUCCUAGUUGUAUGACUCUGCAGAGCUACCAUCGAGCGCCGAGGGUGGAACCUCUUACAUCACUCUUGAUGAGAUCUCUGCAGUGUACCUAUUCGGUCGUGGUCAUCGAGGGUGAUUUCCUCCUUAACCACUUCCGAUACGGCUUUGUCGUGCAACCCCUCAAGUGUGAACCUCAAGGGUGGAUCCUCUUACGUUCACCUUCGUGAUUACAUCGAGUGGAAUUCACCGGGGGUGAUUCCUCGGGUUUUCCCCUUGGUGUUAGACACACGGUUACUAUGGUGACUAUGACUUACACUGAACCAUGUUACUAAAGAUGGGUCGACCUUGAGGGGUACCCGCGCGAGCUUAUUUGCGAGUGAUGUGGAGUCGGGUUGACCUGGAAGGUGCCCGCGAGAUUCUUACGAGGCGUGGCCGGGCAUUCUUAGCCCUUGUCGCAAGUCCUCGAGACGGGGCGACGGGGUCACAUCUUUCGUGAGUCUCUGCUUGUUACCGCGUGCUCCUAAUCCACUACGACUUGGAUAUUUGAUAUGAGGGGCCUCUGGCCUGAUAGAACUAACCAUCACGUGGGCAUAUUAUGGGUGUUCUGCGUCGUAUGCAUCAGCCGAAGUUUAAUAGACGUCAACGACUGAGCGGCGCGCGCCGGGUUGGACUGCGUAAGCUCCUGCCUUGUUUAAGGAGGUAGCUAGGUCUGCUCAUCAGUCGCAUACGCAACGUGCAGGAGUUCCCGGGGAGAUGGCCCAUGACCCCUGGGGGCAUAGGCUUAGUCCGGCGUGCUGACCUCUCUAUUAAGCCUAGGUCGGGUUGUAGCGUAUUGUUUGGCCGAGGCCGGGCAUGACCCAGGAAAGUGUGUCCGGCCGAAGUUAAUCGAGCGUGGUGGGUAAGUUGGUGCACCCCUGCAGGGAAGAAAACAUCUAUCGAUAGCCUGUCCUACGGUAACAGACACUUGGAGUUGUAUCCCGAUCGAUACAACUAGAACUGAAUACUGAGAUGAGAAAUGAAUUGUGAUGAGAAAUGGAUAGUAUAGCUCUGGAAUUGCUUUCUCGCAGGGAGUCGAGAAAGGAUCUCUGGCCGAGGUUGAUAACACUACUACUACUUUACUUUAUGCUACUCUACUCCCUCCUGUUGCUGCAAGAUGGUGGUUUCCAGAAGAUGCUAGUCUUCGAUAGGACUAGCUUCUCCCCCUCUUAUUCCGUCAUUUCUGCAGCCCGUUCCAUAUAUACAGCCUUCCUUUGAUAAUGUUGCAUAUGUAGUGUAGAUCCUUGCUUGGUGAGUACUUCGGAUGAGUACUCACGGUUGUUUUACUUCCUCUGCCCCCCAUUUCCAUUCUUCUCGGAUGUCGCAACCAGAUGGUGGAGCCCAGGAUCCAGACGCCACCUUCGACGACGACUGCUACUACACUGAGGGUGCCUACUACUACAUGGAGGCCGCCGAUGACCAGGAGUAGUUAGGAGGCUCCUAGGCAGGAGGCCUUACCUUUUCGAUCGUAGUUGCUUUUGUGCUAGCCUUCUUAAGGCAAAUUGGUUUAACUUAUGUCUGUACUCAGAUAUUGUUGCUUCCGCUGACUCGUUUGUAUUCAAGCUUAUGUAUUCGAGAC